AUUGAACGCUGGCGGCAUGCCUUACACAUGCAAGUCGAACGGCAGCACGGGUGCCUGCACCUGGUGGCGAGUGGCGAACGGGUGAGUAAUACAUCGGAACAUGUCCUGUAGCGGGGGAUAGCCCGGCGAAAGCCGGAUUAAUACCGCAUACGAUCUACGGAUGAAAGCGGGGGACCUUCGGGCCUCGCGCUAUAGGGUUGGCCGAUGGCUGAUUAGCUAGUUGGUGGGGUAAAGGCCUACCAAGGCGACGAUCAGUAGCUGGUCUGAGAGGACGACCAGCCACACUGGGACUGAGACACGGCCCAGACUCCUACGGGAGGCAGCAGUGGGGAAUUUUGGACAAUGGGCGAAAGCCUGAUCCAGCAAUGCCGCGUGUGUGAAGAAGGCCUUCGGGUUGUAAAGCACUUUUGUCCGGAAAGAAAUCCUUGGCCCUAAUACGGUCGGGGGAUGACGGUACCGGAAGAAUAAGCACCGGCUAACUACGUG
rnacentral:rRNA from 1 species